rnacentral:rRNA from 1 species
CAGCCGCGGUAAUUCCAGCUCCAAUAGCGUAUAUUAAAGUUGUUGUGGUUAAAAAGCUCGUAGUUGGAUCUCGGCGGACAGAAGUCGGUCCGAAUGCUUUCGGUACUGGCUUGUUUGUUCGUGUGUUUUGCCAGAGGCAGGCGGGUGCUCUUCGCCGAGUGUCCGUUUGUGCUGGCAGGUUUACUUUGAAAAAAUUAGAGUGCUCAAAGCAAGCUCUUACGCUUGAAUAUUCGUGCAUGGAAUAAUAGAAUAGGAUGUCGUUUCUAUUUUGUUGGUUUUCGGAAAUCGACAUAAUGAUUAAUAGGGACAGUCGGGGGCAUUUGUAUUCAAACGACAGAGGUGAAAUUCUUGGACCGUUUGAAGACAAACUACUGCGAAAGCAUUUGCCAAGAAUGUUUUCAUUAAUCAAGAACGAAAGUUAGAGGUU